UACGGGGGGAGCAAGCGUUGUUCGGAUUUACUGGGCGUAAAGGGCGCGUAGGCGGCCUCUGCAAGUCGACUGUGAAAUCUCCGGGCUUAACCCGGAAAGGUCAGCCGAUACUGCAGGGCUAGAGUGCAGAAGGGGCAACUGGAAUUCUCGGUGUAGCGGUGAAAUGCGUAGAUAUCGAGAGAAACACCUGCGGCGAAGGCGGGUUGCUGGGCUGACACUGACGCUGAGGCGCGAAAGCUAGGGGAGCGAACGGG
rnacentral:rRNA from 1 species